AGCAAGGGAGGGGAUUGUCCCGCUCUGCUCGGAGCUGGGGUGGCCUCACCUCAAGGGCUGGGGGCAGUUCUGGGUGCCACAAUAGAAAAAAGACAUCAAGCUGUUAGGGAGGGUCCAAAGGAGGGCAGCAAGGAUGGUGAAGGCUCCAGAAAGGAAACUGUAUGAGGAGUGGCUGAGGUCACUUGGUCUGUUCAGCCUGGAGAAAAGGAGACUGAGGGGAGACCUCACUGCAGUUACAGCUUCCUUGUGAGGGGAAGAGGAGGGGCAGACACUCAUCUCGUCUGUGGUGACAGUGAUAGGACCUGAGGAAAUGGACUGAAGUUGUGUCUUGGGAGGUUUAGGUUGGAUAUCAGGAAAAGGUUCUUCACCCAGAGGGUGUUUGGGCAGUGGAACAGGCUCCCCAGGGAAGUGGUCACAGCAGCAGCCUGGCAGAGGACAAGAAGCUGUUAGCACUGUCAGGCACAGGGUGUGACUCGUGGGGGGUCCCAUGCAGGGCCAGGAGUUUAAUGACCCUGUGGGUGCCUUCCAAAUCAGCAUAUUCUGUGAUUCAUACUCAAAACAGGAAAUGGUUUUAGCAAAAGGCACUUCACAAAAAUUUUUUCUGGAAUUACAGCACAUAUUCAUGAAAAUGUUUGCAUUUCUUCAGGUUCUGACCACCUAUUAGAAUUUCAAAUUUUCCUGUCAGUGUGUAAAUAUUAACAAGUCAGGAUACUUUUAAUGCCAAGGCAGUUUAAUGUGAGGGCAAGCUAUUGCCUUAAUACUUUUUAAAGUUGAAGAUUUUCUAAUAUCAGCCAUUAAUCACAAUUGUUAGUCCCCCAUGAUUUAAAUAGUGCAGUAGAGGUGUCCAUUUCUUAUGCAGAAGAAGUAGAAUGUACAAUGUGGAGUUUCCUUAAGUCAAAUCUUAGGCACAUGAUAUGAUACUUGAAAUUACCACUUCAAUUUAAAAGUGAAUCUUGUUUCAAAGAGUUGACAGUUAUGAUGUCUUUUCAAUAUAUUUAUCACUGCUUCUGAAUAAUGAAAUUACAGGACUCAAGGAAGUGGGAUCAGGCCUCAUCUUUGAAAACUGUCUCUGCUGGGGAAAAGUCUGGCAAGGCCAACAGCAGCCAGGAAUCUCACUGCUGCCAUUCUCGUUACAUGCAUCCUACCAACUGUCAUCUUGCCACCAAACAAUCUCCUGAGGCCCAGUGAUGCUGUUCAGAUGAAUCCCUGGCCGCCUUGCACCUGGUCCUGCAGUCUCCUGGAGAACACAUGGGUAUGAACAACAUGUCCUAGGAGGAUAACAGGAGAUGGUUUACCUAGAGAGGUAACCACAUACUGUCUAAGAAACCUCAGUAUUUCCAACAACAAACCUAGAAGCAGCCAGCACUGGGUUUUCUGGAACACUUUUAAUGCGUUUGAAUUGCCAGUUGUCUGAAGACUUUGGAUGAACCUCAUUCUAAACUUCAGGCUCUUGUGUCUUGAGGCCGUCAGAUGUAUGAGGUGCUGAAGAGAUUGAGCAGCAAACACAUUUGAGGCCAUGCAAGCACCACAGAAUUGGCUCCUGGUCUGCAUGUUGUCCAUCUGACAUAGAUUUGUUUUGAGAGAAAUAAUUGGCCUUUGGCCAAUUUAUUGUAUUUCUGAUGGGUUCAGAACAAGGACCAUAAAGCAUGAAUUGUGGGGCAGUGUAAAAACAGGCAGAGAUUAGUGUCCCCUGUUGCUAACUGAUUACCAAAAAAACCCUUUGGGGGCAUUGUGGAGACUCCUGCUCUGGAGGAUUAAUGUAUUAUCUUGGUGGUGCAUCAGUGUUUUCUGACUGAAAUGACUCCAAAACAAUAAUUCUUUAGGUAAUAGAGGGUAAGAGCAGGAAGGAUACAGGUGAACCUGAAGGAGGUGAGCUUUAGGGCUUCCCCCCUAAAUCUGAAAUGUGGCACCAAGGCACCCAGGUGAGCACUCACCUGCUGCUUCACUUGCAAGACAAACAUGCAGCUUAGCCCAGGGCACCGCCCUUGCUCAGAGCUCUUCUCCACUUCAGCUGAAUUGUAUCCAGCACCUGAUCCCACCUGUGCAAACAGGGCAUGACCUAUUGAUGGCGUGGUUUGCAUUGACCUUAAACUGAGGUAUUUUAAUUCAUAUUUAGCAUAAAGAAGAAGUAAGACCUUCAGUGUUCACAUGGUACACCUUUCUGUGCCCAUGCAACCCAGUCUAAGGUCUGCCCCUAAAUUCCAGCUGGUUGUCGGAGUUCAGGAUUUUCCUGAGGUGUCAGGUUGGGAGUCCUGUUUUCAGAGAGAACUUUUGAAAAAAUUGUGGUUGGUGGAGAAGUUAACUUGGGUUGAGAUGUUUUCUUUUUGUUAUUCCUUCCAGUCAGAUUACUAAAUUGAUUAAAAAGCUGUUUUUAAAACAGAGAAUUACUCAGCCUUUUGUAGUUCCUUUUACAAGAAAAACGUGCUCAAUAGAAAGGAGCCUAAGGUUUGCAGUAGAGAGAGAUAGCCCUGUAAUCUUUGUGUCUAUGUGUGGGAAGUACUUGAAAAUUGCCUCCUACAGACAGAUUAGUGAAUUGUUGGGAGAGGAAAGUUUCUUAAAAAUUACGCUUUGCAUAAACUUUAAAUUGCAGAAAACAUCUACUUUCCUGUUAUCUCCAUUAUUUAUGUACUAUCUGAAACAAAUGUCAGGCUGACACCUCACAAAUUGUUUGCUACUGAUUCUCCUAUUACUUUACAGAUGUUCCAAAAGUUUUCACACCAGCUUCUCAGAAAAUAUCCAAAGAUGAGAGCAGGUUUCAUUCUGUAGCAUCAUUGUUUUGGCAGGUAUGAAGAAAGUUGAGUGGGCUGAUCACGUGCUUCCCAUCUGUCAGCUCAUCACUCUUAAUAGGUGCUUGAAGGAAAAUUGCAGUUAUUUCACACAGCACUGGAAGCUGAAAGUUCAUAUGUCAAGAAAAGAUGGACAUGGAAAUAACAGACUUUUUUAUCUACAAAAGACAUCCCUGUGCUGCCCUGUUGGGGGUAGUUAUCUUUUGUGCACUUGUGAUCUUGGUCUAAUACGGAUUUGCUGAUGCUCACUGAAAAGGACAUUACCCACAGUCUGGGCCUGUCUUCCUCAAGACACUGAAAUAUAAAACAGGAUUUUUUCAGUAGCGCUGAAGUCACCCUAAAGGCUGACAGAGAACUACAGUGAGAGGUUUUCCUGAUCCCUGGAACUAUAGCUCAUUCCUGAGUGCCAGCUAUUGCUGCCUCUCUCCCAGCUGCUGUGUGUAUUGCUGCUUCUUGCCCACAGAGGUAAGGGCACAGCAGUUUCACAGGAGCAGGUCCAUAUAUCUACCAUGGAUAAAAGUUCCUCCCAGCGCAUAUUGGACUCUAUACCUUUAGUGGUUUUAAUGACUAAACCAUAAAAUGUUCUUCUCUUGCUUGUUUGAAACCCAUUCUAACAACCCAGUCAAACUGCCCACAUCUGUGGCUUCCUGGGCUGCAAUUUAUCUGGGAUGAUAAAUACAGAAAGCUGUGCUUAACCUGGAUUAGAGGCAUCCUGCAGUGUUGGAAACAGCUCAGUGCUUGCAGCUUUGGGUACAGCAUGUUACAGCGUGACGGUGGCAUGGCUGAGUUGUUAAAAUGGUCAGUUUGCCAUUUGUAGUGCAUCAGUCAAAUAAAACUUGUCUUGCUAUUGGUUGUUAACAGCAGCUAAGCAAGCUCUUCAGUGUGAUUCAUCUCCCCUAAAUUUAGCUGCCUAAAUAUUAGGCAUCUCAUCUGAACCAGUCAUCUACCGUAGUCUCAAAAUUAGUCAUCAGAGAUAAGCAGCUCAACAGUACCUGUGUCAAGAGAGGGUUCUGGCAGAGCUAGGGAGUUAACUCAUUUCUGGAGUAACUGUUUUUCUCCACUCUUUCUGACUUCAUUUAGUGACUUUUGACAGCAAGGCAAGGGAAGCUCUCUUCUUUGUUCUGUUUUCCAAAAGUAUCUUUUCAGUUUCAGCUAUCAAUAGCCUUCCUUUUGAUUAUUAAAAAUGUCUUUGUGUGUGAAACACCACCUGGAUUUGCUGCCCUGAUUUUUAGUUAUUGUCUCUCAUUUUCUUGUUGUUUCUCCUGAUUGUGAAUUAGAAUAAUUUCCAAGGUUGGAUGAAAAUAAAUGUUCUUUAUUCUUUAUUUAAACACAUUUUUUUCCAGUAAUCAAUAGCACAACUGGAACUCUGGGUUUCAAUGCUUUCUCCUUAAAAACAUAGAUCAGAGUGUUGUGAAGCUAUACAUCUUCCCUGUCAAACAUUUAAUUUAUUGUGCUGUUCAUUUAUAGCUAGAGACUAGAGAACUAUUGGUUGACAAAAGAGGAUGGAUGACUCUUUUAUUGAGUCCUUAUACAGCUGGCAGAAGAUAGAGCAAAUGGAGGAAGAUUUGCAACACUCAUUUCCAACUUCUAAUAAAUUGUGGAUGGAUCACAAGGAAUUUAUGCUAACUUAAAUAUAUUUCCAAAGGAUCAGGAAUUGGCAAUCAUUUGUCUCCUUCACUGUGUUUAAACUUGAGCAUCAGAAAGCAGGUUAAGAAGAAUCUUCAAUAGUGGUUCACAACAGCUAAUGUGGCUAUAGACAAAUAAACAGCACAAUCCAUUUCUAACUCAGUUAUGGCUAUUGCUUUAUCCCUCUGAAGCUAAAGCAAUAUUAGCAUCCGAACAGUUCUUGUUUAGUGUUAUUUAUCCCAUUAUAUGUCAGCUCUCCUUGUCAAGUGAGGGUUUUAUGGUGGUGGCCAAGUGAUUUCAGUACUUCUCUGGGGCUUACUUUGUUGGGGUGUGCCCAGGAGGGUCCUGCUGGGGAAUUGCUCUGAGCCCCAGUGCUGCUGCUGCUGCUGCCUCAGACUGUGGUUAUGAGGCACUGGGCAUCCCUCAGCCACCACUCCUACAAUUGUCUUCCUUUGAUCAUUUUGAUGUACACAGAAAUCUCACCAUGGCAGAAAAAUACAGAAGCUUAUUGGUUUGAGCUAAUAAUUUCCUGGGUUUAAUAUAUGUCUGGGUUUUUGCAGUAUCAAGUUGUAGGUUUUAUCUUCAGUGUUGGGGACCUUUGUCACUCUGCUCCUUUGCUUUUUCUUAGCAUAUCUGAACCCAUCUUUCUCGCUAUCUCUAAUGAUGUUCCAGAAGAAUUUUUUAUUAACUGCGAUAUCUUCUUCUUGAGAGAAGUUAUGCUAUAACAUUUAAAAUACAUCUUUUUUUUUUUUUUAAUGAUCUCUUGACUGCAUAUUAGCAGUGGGUAUGAGCCAUGCAAUUUGAACUUCAAUCUGCUUUGUUAUCUAGUAACAGUAGAGGUCUUAUAUCCUCCCUCUCAAUCACUAGAGAGGGGAAUGAAUCCUAUUUAGCCAUAGCAAUUAAAGAGACUGUGAUUGGUUUCAAGUUAGAAAUCCUAAUGGGUUGGUUGGAAUAAAUAGCUGCAUUCUACAAUUCUCCAACUUUCCUUAAUUCCUCGUUUCACUUUUCUUCAAUUAAUCUUUUAUUUAUGCAGUUUAAGGUUAGUAUUACAGUUUAUGCACAUGUGUGUAGAGUGUGUACACUGGAUAGCUACUGGCAAAGAGGAUUGCAGAAGCCAUUAUGCUCAUAGAAGCUAAACAGAGGUGAAUGAGUACAUUCUAUAAUAAUUCUCUUCAGAAUUUCAAACAGUGCAUAUAUGAAGUAAAUGCAAGGAAAGUGUUCUCUGAGCUUUUUAAAAUGAAGUGAAAUUCCUGUUUGCAACAUCUUAAUAAACAGAAACAGGCUAAGACACAUUUCUUUUAGCUGCACAAAAAUGAAUGGCAUCUCAAUCAAUAAACACAAUAGUGAAGAGUAGCUGGUUUUAAGUAUGCAGCUACAAAUGUGAAAUACAGUAAGUAUUUAGAAAUAAAUUGAAAAAAAAACUGGGAUUAAUGCAUUUUUUAUUUUUUAGAAAAUAUACUUACAUAGUUAUCAACACUGACCAUCAAAUUAACAUGCAGAAUUAAUAAUGUGUGAUUUAUCUUUGAAAUUAGGAAUGCUUUUAUAUCACUACCUCAUUAUGAAAGAGUCAGCCUGGUAAAGUAAUACAAAAAGGCUCAUAAAUGGAACAGUACAAAUCAAAAUAAUUACCUUUACUCAUAUUCAGAAAGGUUCCUGUGUAGAACAGGUAGAAGAAAGGAAAAGGAAUGCAUAGAUGUGAUAUGAUGUAACAGAACUCCCCAGACUUCCAUUCUACUUGCACAUCUUAGUACCUUUCAGGGAAAGUACUGGGUCAGAUUUUGCUACUUAAAAGCUUUUAAAUACCUUGUAUUAAAAAUAUUAUGCAGAGAAGGAGAAGGCUAUGGCACUUUUAAGAAUUAACACUUCAGAAUAUCUGCCUGUAUACAUGCCUGCGUGGAACAUUUUUUCCAUCUUGUCUUAAGAAGUCUUUUUUACAGAGACAGUGUUUUCCAGUGCAGAUUUCUGUCUUCCAAGCUUCAUGAAACCCAGAGACAACCUCUGAGUUUGUGGAAAUGCUCUUUGAAAAAUAGUUUCACCCUUAUUCCCCAAAACCUACCCUGCUGGUCUGUUCUCCAUAGCUUUCUCAACAAAACAGUUGACAAAGCCGUUUUCAUCCAGCAGUGAUUCUGACCCAAACUAGCAGUGUUUUGCUUCCCAAGUUUGCGGUGUGGACUCCAAGAGGCCGUUCUGGGGCGCUUUGCCCAGCGCCCUUGGCUGGCUGAGCUGGUCAGGAGGCUUUGCUGGCAUGGCUGGGGCACACGGAGCGCUCAGCAGGGCUGGCAACAGCAGGAGGCUCCUCCUGCCCCCCUCUGCCGUGGGGCACGGAGUUCAGCUGUAAAACGUGGCCUGUCUUGAGCAGGUACAGCCAAGAACUGAUCCCUUGAUUCCUCACCAGACCUUGGCCAGUAUCGGGGCAAAUUAUCCCCAGCUGAGUAAGAAUUGGCACAGACUCCGUGUAUUACAGAAGGCUGAUCAAUAAUCUUUAUUAAGAAACCCAUUGCUCUUAUAGACUAGUUCACUACAGGUGUAAUUGAUUGGUCCUUGUCUCAAAACACCAUCACCAUUGGCUAAUUAAGAAACCAUCCUUUGGUAAACAAAUCUCCAUAACACAUCCCACACGUUCACAACAGGUGCAGCAAGUUAAGGUAAGAAUUGUUCUCAUUCUUUUCUCUGAUCUUCUCCCAGCCUUUCCCAGCACGAGGCCUGGGACUGUUGUGUUUCUCUCUGUGGCCAGAGAGCUCCUGCCACACGGACAGCCCUUACCCCAGUGUUAAUGAGUGUUCUGGUAAUUAACAUACUAUAAAGUAGUCCCGUGGGUAAGUCUCCAAAGGGGCAGGGUGGUCUGCACUAACUCCUGUAAGGACUGGGUUUGCACUCUGUGAAUUUAUUGAUAGGCAUUAUUGCAAUAACCAUAGGUACCCUGGACCUACCAGGGCAAUCUGAGGUUUGUACUAUUCUGCAUUUUAGGAGACUUGGUGCAUUCAACAUC